rnacentral:rRNA from 1 species
CCAAUAGCGUAUAUUAAAGUUGUUGCAGUUAAAAAGCUCGUAGUUGAAUUUCGGGAUCAGUACGCUGGUCGUGCCUCCGGUAUGUACUGGUGUCACUGCUUCCUCCCUUCUGAAGAACCAUCAUGCCAUUCACUUGGUGUGGUGGGGCAUCAGGACUGUUACUUUGAAAAAAUUAGAGUGUUUAAAGCAGGCUCGCGCUUGAAUUCAUUAGCAUGGAAUCAUUAAAUAGGACGUUUAUCCUAUUUUGUUGGUUUCUAGGAUUGACGUAAUGAUUAAUAGGGAUAGUUGGGGGCAUUAGUAUUCAAUUGUCAGAGGUGAAAUUCUUGGAUUUAUUGAAGACUAACUACUGCGAAAGCAUUUGCCAAGGAUGUUUUCAUUAAUCAAGAACGAAAGUUAGGGGAUCGAAGACGAUCAGAUACCGUCGUAGUCUUAACCAUAAACUAUGCCGACUAGGGAUCGGAUGAUGUUAAUUUUUUAAUGACUCAUUCGGCGCCUUACG